rnacentral:rRNA from 1 species
CGAGCACGCGCGUGUGGCAUAUCAAUAAGCGGAGGAAAAGAAACUAACAAGGAUUCCCUUAGUAACGGCGAGUGAAGCGGGAAGAGCUCAAAUUUGAAAUCUUCAAGGUUCUACCUUGACGAAUUGUAGUUUAUAGAAGUGUUUUCUGUUAGUAGAGUGGCAAAAGUUCUUUGGAAUAGGACAUCAUAGAGGGUGAGAAUCCCGUAUUUGGUCAUUCUUUCUAGCUUUGUGAUACACUUUCGACGAGUCGGGUUGUUUGGGAAUGCAGUCCAAAAUGGGUGGUAAAUUUCAUCUAAAGCUAAAUAUUGGCGAGAGACCGAUAGCGAACAAGUACCGUGAGGGAAAGAUGAAAAGAACUUUGAAAAGAGAGUUAAACAGUACGUGAAAUUGUCAAAAGGGAAGCGUUUGACACCAGUGUCGUUUUUCCGAAAAUCAAUUACGAAUGUUUUGUUUUUGAGGAAGUUAUGACUUCAUCGGCUUGCUCCUUUCUUUAUGAAACUUUCUUAAUGCACUUUUCGGUUAACAAGUCAACAUCAAUUUCUUUUGUUGUAAAAGGGUAUGAGGAAGGUGGCUUUCUUUUCGGAGAAAGUGUUUAUAGCCUUGUAGCCUCUGCAAUCGGAGAGAUUGAGGUCUGCAGCGUAGAUCCUUCGGGGUUAGAUACAGUUUGUGCUAAGUUAUAGCUUUUCAUAGACAACUUGUUGACUAUGUUAGUCUUGUAGCUUACUCGCUGAUGCUAUUUUACCUACGCUUAGGAUGUUGAGUAGCGACAUACGCAC